rnacentral:sRNA from 1 species
UGUCAAACCACUGUCCUUAAUUUUCUGC